rnacentral:rRNA from 1 species
UUUUAUAGUUAAGUUUAUUAAGAUUAUAUAUAUAAUAAAUAUUAAAAUAAGUUUAAUUAUUUUGUUGGGGUGAUAGAAAAAUAAAAUAAACUUUUUUUAAUUUUUUACAUAAAUAAGUGAAAUAUAUGAUCCAGUUUUAUUGAUU